rnacentral:rRNA from 1 species
GAUGAACGCUGGCGGCGUGCUUAAUACAUGUAAGUCGAACGGAUGAUUAGCAAUAAUUAUUAGUGGCGAACGGGUGAGUAACGCGUUGGUGACCUGCCCCGAAGUGGGGGAUACCAGUUCGAAAGGACUGCUAAUACCGCAUGAGUUCGUGCGAGGUGAGACAGCACGAGGAAAGCUACGUGAGUAGCGCUUUGGGAGGGACCUGCGUCCCAUCAGCUAGUUGGUAAGGUAACGGCUUACCAAGGCGACGACGGGUAGGGGGCCUGAGAGGGUGACCCCCCACACUGGCACUGAAACACGGGCCAGACACCUACGGGUGGCAGCAGUAGGGAAUAUUGCACAAUGGGCGAAAGCCCGAUGCAGCAACGCCGCGUGCACGAUGAAGGCCUCGGUUGUAAAGUGCUUUCUGCAGGAAGAGGAAGGACUGUACUGUAGGAAUAAGGAUCGGCUAACUAACGUGCCAGCAGCCGCGGUAAACUAAGUCUACG